AAAGGGUUCAGUGAAUCUGAAAAUGCACACGCUGUAAAAACUGCUACAUAUAACGACUUUCUACUUUGGGACCUUUAUAUAAAUGUAGUUGAGUAAAAAGUACAAUAUUUGUCUUUCAAAUGUAGUGAAGUUAAAGUCGCAAGUUUCCAGAAAAAAUAAUACUCAAGUAAAGUACAGAUACUCAAAAAGUGUACUUAAGUACGCGUUGAACAUUCGAGGCGCAUUUAAACUGGAGUGCAGGGAGUUACCAUGGAAACGGGGCGGCAACUUAGCUGACAAGUCUCUCAAUGUUGUUUUUACUGCUUUCAGAAAUGGUUCAGUGUCAUCAGAAAAAGUCUGUCAGCAUCACAACCGUGAGCUAACUAUAGAGGCUAACUAUAAGAGACAAAUAUUGAUAAGAAUUGUACCAUGAUUUCAUCAAAAAAAAAAAAAAAAAACCUCUAAUGGGAGCUGAUGACAGAGAUAUAGGAAACACAGAUUGUAUAUGUUCCUAUAUUUUUCCAUGCUGAUGGCAGAGUUGGAGGGGACCAAGGCACUAUGAACCAUCUGACUAAUUACUCUGGACUAAGGUAUAUUAUACCCACAUGUCAGGGAUAGAUAGACUUUGAGCUCUAAAGGGCAUGGAGAGAUGAAGAGAGCCUUGGUUGGAUCUUCCGGAUAUUUCUUCUGUGUAACCCACCAUUGCUAGGUCUGAGCUUUCGAGGCACCAUUUGGUCAGAAGUCAGAAGUGUAGAAAAGGAACCACUACGAAUUUCACACAGAGUCAUUGGAGAACCACACACCUGCAAUGAAAAUUGGAAUAUAAGCAGCAGCAGUUGCACUUCAACAGGGUGUCCGCGAGGUCUUAAAAAGUCUUAAAUUGUACAAGAAAGUCUUAAUUAUGAUUUCAAGAGGUCUUAAAUUUUGAGACGGAAAGACAAGAAUUGCGAUAUGGCUGAAUGUGACGAUUAAACUUCAAAAGGCUAUGAUUUCAUUAAAUAAACAUGAGCGCUGCAAGUUCAAAGUCCAGUGCUGCGCUGCUUUGUGUUCUGUCUUUACCGGUGUUGUGCCCAUUUUCGACCCCCUGCCAAAUUAUUACCCCUCUCGUUGAAAUCGCUAUAUGAUUGCCUAAUCCUAACCCCACCCCUAAUCCUAACCCUUCCCCCACACCUAACCCUAAACCUACCAAUACUAAAGGGGUAAUAAUCUGUCAGGGGUCAGAAUUGGGCACAACACUGGAAAACCAUUAUAUUUCAGCCAAACGCGACACAUGCUGGCAGAGAGUGAAUCCUACCUGGUCUCAUGGCAUUUACGUACCUGGGUGCACUUUUUAGCGUGACAUGAAAUACGUACCAAUAAGUACAUAUCACUGCAGUUUCCAAAAUAAAUGAACACUUUUACACAAAUUUACAGAGUUGCGAUUAAUAAAGCAUAAUUAGCAAAAUUACUUUAAGAAUAUCAUGCCAUGACUUCAAAACAAUAUUAAUAUGCUGGGAGAUUUGAAAACUGAUGGUUUUGAACGUUAGCAAUGCACACAUCCAGCUUCAUAUCUAUGGGUUUUCAUAGACGACAAGUUUGUUUGGUAGCUCACGGAGUAUGGAGACGGACUUAGGAGCCGAGAAGCACCGGUUCGAAUCCCGUGUAACUACGUUUCGACAAAGCAGUUAAAAUCUGCUUAAAAGGAAGUUCAAAUGGCACAGUUGCAUCAGCUAAUAUGUUUUUAUAUCAGUUUUGAAUUUGUUAACAGUAUCGGGUAGGUUUAGGGCUGGAUUUGGUGUAGGGCAUAUUUCCAACACGAUAGAGCAUUAACCUUUAGCGACAGUCCCCGGAUAUUUGAAUUCUGAACCGCCGCAAUACGUAUCUGAAGCAACGUAAUAAAAAAAACAGCAAUACGUACCAAUAUCUACGUAAUAAAAACGUGCCAGGGUUCACAUAUUGAACCUGUGUUUUAGCGCCACUCAGUGGACAUUUCUAUUUGAAACUGUGGGGAAACGUGCAGCAAGGUACGUAAAACGGUGUCGCACAAAAAGUGCGCAGAGGUACGUAUUUUUAUGAGACCAGGUUGGUGAAUCAGUUAACAUGGGUUAAACUAGCGCGCAUACGAGUUUCACUGCACG